AUGCUCCUGCUGUUCGUCCCAGUCCUGGGGAUGCUUUUCACCCUGAGAGAUGCCAGGGCCCAGUCAGUGGACCAGCCUGACAACCACAUCAGUGUUUCUGAAGGAGCCUCGCUGGAGCUGAGGUGCAAGUAUUCUUACACUGGAACUGUUUAUCUCUACUGGUAUGUCCAAGACCCCAGGCAAGGUCUCCAGCUUGUACUCAAGUACCUUUCAGGGGACACCUUGGUGAAAGGCAUUAAGAAUUUUGAGGCUGAACUUAGGAAGAAUGAGUCGACCUUCAACCUGAGGAAACACUUCGCUCAUUGGAGUGACUCAGCUGAGUACUUCUGUGCUGUGAGUGCCACAGUGCUGGGAACUGCAUGA